CCUACGGGAGGCAGCAGUGAGGAAUAUUGGUCAAUGGGAGAGAUCCUGAACCAGCCAAGCCGCGUGAGGGAAGACGGCCCUAUGGGUUGUAAACCUCGUUUGUCGGAGAACAAAACCCGGGACGUGUCCCGGACUGCGUGUAUCCGAAGAAAAAGCAUCGGCUACAUCCGUGCCAGCAGCCGCGGUUAUACGGAGGAUGCGAGCGUUAUCCGAAUUUAGUGGGUUUAAUGGGUGCGUAGGCGGUCCGUUAAGUCAGCGGUAAAAGUGCGGGGGUAAACCCCGUCGGGCCGUGGAAACGGGCAGACUUGAGUUGGCGAGAAGUACGCGGAAUGCGCGGUGUAGCGGUGAAAUGCAUAGAUAUCGCGCAGAACUCCGAUUGCGAAGGCAGCGUACCGGCGCCAGACUGACGCGGAGGCACGAAAGCGUGGGGAUCGAACAGGAUUAGAUACCCGGGUAGU
rnacentral:rRNA from 1 species